rnacentral:lncRNA from 1 species
AAAUCACUGACCCAUGAGAUAGUUCUGGUUGGAUGUGGAGGUAAACUGACCAAGCCGAAGUGCAUGUAUGAAGUUGAGCUAAAAGUCUAUGGACAGAGUUGCAUGGUCCCUGUUCUUGUUGUGCCAGGUCAAAAGGAUGAACUCAUACUGGGCACCAAUGUCAUAAAAUUCCUCAUGCAUCAAAUGAAAGUCAGCGACGACUAUUGGCGUCUCAUUUCCAGUGGUGGUUUGCAGUCUUCUGUCGAGUGUGAGCAAUUCUUGGACUUGAUGGCAAACACAUGCAGAUGGAGAGGAGAUGAGCUACCAAGAAAGGUGGGAACCGUGAAACUCCAGCAAUCAGUUACUCUUCUGGCAAAGCAAGAAUACCUGCUUUGGGGAAAACUACCAAGGGAUGUUCCUAUGUCUCCAGGAAGCACAGUUGUUGUGGAGCCCACAUCUACUAAGACCAUGCCUCGACACAUAAUGGUUGGACGUGUUGUUACGCCACUGUGGGGUGAUGGGUGGAUCCCCAUGAGGGUAACUAAUGUUUCUGACCAACCUGUUACUUUGAAAAGAAAUAGCAAACUGGCAGAUGUGUCGCCUUGUAUAGCUGUGGAGGACUUUGACCUUUUUCAAGGAGUCAGUCAUGUUGAAGCCACUUCAUUGGGGCAACAGCCAUCACACAUUAAUCCUGCUGACCUCAAACGACGUUUGGAAGAUGUUGGGCUUGCCGAUAUCGAUAUCGAUUCUUGUUCCACUGACAUGGUGUCUAAGGAGAGACUUGUCCGGCUGCUUGAGAAGUAUAAUGAUGUCUUUUCCAAACACUCAUUGGACUGUGGGGAAGCGAAAGGAUUUGUUCACCGAAUCCGUCUCAUGGAUGAGCGACCUUUCCGACUCCCUUACCGUCGUGUACCCCCUGCUCAUUAUCAGAAGCUACGCCAAGUCCUAUCAGAAAUGGAAGAACAAGGGAUUAUUCGAAAAUCUGUGAGUGAAUAUGCCUCUCCCUUGGUUCUGGUAUGGAAAAAAGAUGGCAGCUUAAGAAUUUGUACAGAU